AGUGAGCGACACACACACACACACACACACACACACACACACACACACACACACACACACACACACACACACACACACACACACACACACACACACACACACACACACACACACACACACACACACACACACACACACACACACACAGAGAGAGAGAUAGAGAGAAUUUGAUUUUAUACCUUUAAUACCAGUGUAAACUAAAAAAAACUCAGAAAUGUAUACAAUGUUAAACUUGAGAUCAAAAUUCAACUGUCAAUGUAUGUAUUGGCAUGUCUGUCUGUCUCCCUACCUCUGACAGUGAGGUGAGAGUGUGUCUGUCUCCCUACCUCUGACAGUGAGGUGAGAGUGUGUCUGUCUCCCUACCUCUGACAGUGAGGUGAGAGUGUGUCUGUCUCCCUACCUCUGACAGUGAGGUGAGAGUGUGUCUGUCUCCCUACCUCUGACAGUGAGGUGAGAGUGUGUCUGUCUCCCUACCUCUGACAGUGAGGUGAGAGUGUGUCUGUCUCCCUACCUCUGACAGUGAGGUGAGAGUGUGUCUGUCUCCCUACCUCUGACAGUGAGGUGAGAGUGUGUCUGUCUCCCUACCUCUGACAGUGAGGUGAGAGUGUGUCUGUCUCCCUACCUCUGACAGUGAGGUGAGAGUGUGUGUGUUUCCCUACCUCUGAC